rnacentral:rRNA from 1 species
GAUCGGAGUCUGCAACCCGACUCCGUGAAGCUGGAUUCGCUAGUAAUCGCGCAUCAGCCAUGGCGCGGUGAAUACGUUCCCGGGUCUUGUACACACCGCCCGUCACACCAUGGGAGUCGGAAAUGCCCGAAGUCAGUGACCUAACCGAAAGGGAGGAGCUGCCGAAGGUGGAGCCGGUAACUGGGGUGAAGUCGUAACAAGGUACC